rnacentral:pre_miRNA from 1 species
ACCCUGUAGAUCCGAAUUUGUUUGGGAAUGUGACUACAAAUUCGGUUCUAGAGAGGUUU